rnacentral:lncRNA from 1 species
UGCCCGGAAAAGAUAACAUGGCCUGCUGAGAUGGGCUCUCCUCCUCCCCUGUACUUCAAUGCUGGGAUGUUUGUAUUUGAGCCUAGUCGUUUGACUUAUGAGAGCCUUCUUGAGAGGCUGCAGAUCACCCCACCAACCCCCUUUGCCGAGCAAGUAAGUCAUACCUGCAUUUAACCACACACGUAUGAAAAUAAAGUAAAAAUGGAUUAAUCGAUUGACACUCGGGAGAAGCAGGAAACAAUUGUUAAUUUCUAAUGUUUUUCCGAUUUGCUUGGGGAUCAUAUGGCAGGAUUUCUUGAAUAUGUUUUUCCAAAAAACAUACAAGCCAAUCCCUCUGCUUUACAACCUGGUUUUAGCCAUGUUAUGGCGACAUCCUGAGAACGUGGAGGUCGAGAAGGUUAAAGUGGUUCACUACUGUGCUGCUGUAAGUAGUCUUCUUCUUUGAAUAACAUCAAAUACUAUCUUAGAUUUUUAAUGUAUUAUGCACAUAUAUACUUAAUUUGGGUUCAAUUUUCUCUUCCAUUCUUGAAAAAAUAAAAAUAGGGUUCAAAACCUUGGAGAUAUACUGGCGAGGAAGCUAACAUGGAUAGAGAGGACAUCAAGAUGUUAGUGGCAAAAUGGUGGGAUAUAUAUAAUGAUGAGUCCCUCGAUUUCAAUGGCGAAAACUCAGUUCCAGAAGAAGAAACAAUAUUCUCGAGGUCAUCCAUCUUGU